CUGGUACUGACCAGUUCCUUCUUCCUCUUCUCUUCUUUCACAUCUGUCUUCUUGAUCUCCGCCUUGAAGGCCUCCGCCUCGCCGUUCUGGUCGUCCUUGGCCAGCAGGUCCAUGAGAUCCUCUCCUUCUUUCGGGGGAAAGGAUCUGGGCCCUGCAGGCGCCCUGGAGCGCGAAGGCGGCGACUGGGGCUCGGAGGGGUCUGCGCGGCGGCCUUGGGAGCUCCCGGGCGGCGGCGGCGGCGGUUCUCCGGGACUGGACACCGUGAGGGGAGCAAGAGGAUUUUCCCAGCGAGAUCUCCAUGUACAGCUACAUCUUUAGGGCCGCUCGGGUUAAUAUAUGUCGUCAGAGGCUCCUCACGCCAAUCCCGGGGCGGCGGGGGCGGCGCCUCGCGCUCUCUGCAAUAAAACUUUUUGAUGUUCUCCUUGCUAAUUGCCGAGGUCCUCAUCCAGGAUUGGCUGCCCCUUCAUAACCAGAAGAUAAUUAAAACGAGGGGGGGAGGGUUAAAAAAACUUUUUUAUCAGCCGGAGGUUAAUGCAAGUGUUUAACAGAUGCUUCACUAUUAAAAUAUUUUCCCCCCAAGUCUCAAAUAUCGAAGAAUCUUAAACCAGGGACACCAGCCCCAGCGAAGGAAGACCUUGAGCUAUUUCAAAGCGCAGACACCUCGAUUCCCCGAAUUUGUUGUGUGGCCGGUAUCGGUGUUCCCCUGGUUUAACUAGCCAGUCUGAAGGCACAGAUCAUUCUUGGGGAAGUACCAACGGAGCCAGUUCUCCCCCCCCCCCCACGGGGUCUCCAUUUGCCCAGUCUACCUUUGGCUGUGACUCCAGAAAGACAAACUUCUGAUUGGCCAAGGCCCAGAGUAAAUGCCACCUCCUCCAGGAAGCCUUUCCAGCGACCAAAACAGCGGUGGAGGCGGACGUCGUCCCGAAGGGCACAGACCCUCAUCUCCAAGCCCUCGGGAGAAGCAGGGGAAGGCUCCUCGGCUGGACCGCGCGUCCGAGGGCUCCGCAUCGCCGGCGUGGGAUGGAGAGCGGGGACCCAGCCCGGCCUGGUCUCCCCUGGCCCCUCCGCCUCCUGAGCUGUGGAGCAACAGCUGGCCGGGCGGACGCCGCGGACUGGUCUCUCUAAGCCUUGGUUUCCGCAUCUGAGCAAUGGGGUAGCUACGCCGGCCGCGAGGAUGCGCAUGAAAGAUGAAUGAGAUCAAGGCGCGCGUGGGGAUGGACGCCGGACGCACAGGCUGCGCGCAAUAAAUGUGUUUUCUCUUCCUUC